rnacentral:lncRNA from 1 species
AGCUCUUGUUAAGAGUGGUGCCACUAAGGAUUUUUGGCUUGAUUUCCUUAAUCCAACUAGCUUAAAUAAUAAAACUAUUUGGCUUUGUCCGAAAAUUUUUAUAUGGAAUAAAUGUCUAAUGACUAUAAUUUUAAAAUAAGUACUCUUCUGUUGUGAUACUUAAAAAAUAGUUUUUCAAAUUCUGAUUGGACAAAUGUUUUAUUUAUUUUAUUCCAGUCCACAAUCACAGAUCAUAAUGUUUUAUCCAAGAGGCAAUGCAGAUAUUAGAGUAAC